AUCCAGUUGACGAGUCCAAAAUAGGACGAAACGUGCAU
rnacentral:hammerhead_ribozyme from 1 species